AUUAUAAGUAUUAGAGGCAAUGCCUGCCCAGUGACCAAGGUUAAACGGCCGCGGUAUUCUGACCGUGCAAAGGUAGCAUAAUCACUUGUUCCUUAAUUAGGGACUAGAAUGAAUGGCUAGACGAGGGUUUAACUGUCUCUUAUUUUCUAUCCGUGAAAUUGACCUUCCCGUGAAGAGGCGGGAAUAACUAAACUAGACGAGAAGACCCUAUGGAGCUUUAAUUUAUUAAUUUAAUUUCAAUAAUCUCAAAUCUAAUGAAACAAAAACUGAAAGCUAAGUUAAUGAUUUAGGUUGGGGUGACCUCGGAGAAAAAAACAACCUCCGAAAGAUUAUUGGUUAAGACUGACAGGCCAAAACAAGUCAAUCUAUCGCAAUCGACCCAUUAAGUUUGAUCGACGGACCAAGUUACCCUAGGGAUAACAGCGCAAUCCUAUUUAAGAGUUCAUAUCGAAAAUAGGGUUUACGACCUCGAUGUUGGAUCAGGAUGUCCCAAUGGUGCAGCAGCUAUUAAUGGUUCGUUUGUUCAACGAUUA
rnacentral:rRNA from 1 species